UAAAAAGAACGAACAUGUUCCUUAUUCUGCCCAAUACGUCGUCCGUUUUCGUCGUACUCUGUCGCACUUCCCUCGCGCUGAAAUGGGCCGAAGCCCAACACAUUCGUUUCCCACCGCGUCGCCUCAUUCCCUGGAAAAAAAACAUCCCUUCUUUCUUCUCUCACGAAGCACCUUCUUCCUAGGGUUCGGCCACGCCGCCGCUUUCUCCACGCCGUCUCCUGACUGUGCGCCGCCGCUCGACCGCGCCGAAUCCCACCUAUCCGCCGCUGCUCGCCCGCUCGGCCCUGCCUGUGCUCGAGCUCCGCCAGGACAUGAGCUCACCCGACCGACCAGCACAUCUAGGACCUGGCAGGGCAUCAGGUGAGGCAUAAGCCGCCUCAAACUCUCCAAGGCGCAGGACUCCUCUCCCUUGACGGAACUAUCUCUGUCCUGGCGGUCAAUCAGAAAAUCGCUCCACGCUGCCUCCAGUUCUGUCAUCGGCCACUGUCUCAGCUUCUGUCCAAGCCCACUUUCUAUCGAUCCCAUGCCCUUCAUAUCCUCCUCCUCCUGGUGAUACUGCAACGCGGCGGCGCGGCGGCAGCAGCCCAAAUUUGCACGAUCCGGCCGGACACAGCUAUACAUGGCUGAUCUCAGGAGCAGCAACUAGCCUGGUGAAGUCGAUGGUUAAGAGAUAUGAGAAAGUUCUUGCGUGGGUAUCUCCUGGAUGCACCUGUUGGGGCACAAAACCUACAUGGUCAUCGUACUAAUUGGUAGCUGUAAGGUCUUAUAGUGCAAGACGAAAAUUGGCAAAUGAGAAAGUGAAAACUAACAGACAAAAAAGCAUAACAAAAUAACAUGAUCAAGGAAAAACGAAUUGGACGAACUUAAGAGAUGCUUAGUUCCCGGCCGUUCAAAACUAUUCAUCCGCAUCCGACAGUCCCUAGAUCCAUGGGUAUAUACCCCCGGGUAUCCACUUAUUUCCCAAAAACGAUUCAAGAAUCAAAAAGACUGAUAGGUGCUUGAUGAAAUUCCGGUAUGAGGCGUCAAGGAGAAUUCCUUCCUCACUACCUCGGCACUGUCAUAGCCAAGGUAGAUUCGGCCCCUGCUAAAUAUUGAAUAGUUGUACAUCCAACCAUUGGGAAUCCUUCGGCAGUAAUUGAAAAAGUACUUAUGAUUUGUUCUUUCUGCUACCGUGGGGUUGGAAAGGAUGCUAAUUGCGGGUUUACUGGUGGAUGCUGAAUUAGGGAAGAGAGACGCUGCCCCAUGCCAUGGUUACAAUUUGAAGCUGUAUAAAUAGUUUAUGUCAUCCUUUGAGUAAUGGAGUCCUCAAGUUGUCCUUACAAAAUGAUGCAGUUGUUGCACUGAAGAAGAUGAGCGAUAAGCAGCUUUCUGGAAGGAACAUGUGGUGCACUAUGAGAACAUCAGAUGAUUUGUUGUUACCAUUGAGUAAGGUGCUUAUUUGGUAUCAUUUCUUGUAUUUGGAAUUUGUGAUGUUAAAUGGAGCCCUGGACAUGCACCUUAAAUUUGCGGGCCUUGCGGUGUUCCGCUUGGCUUCCUACUAGAGAUGCAUUCAGCUUUUAGGCUACUGCGUUUCCUACCAUCGCUUGAAAGGCCUACCGCUUGGUAGGCCUGUAAGUGGAAGCGGCUGGCCAUGGGGCCGCCAGCCCAAGCCCACUAAACUCGCUAAGUGAACGCCCACGGAAACGGAUAGAAUCGUGGCGGAAACUCACGAUGCGCCCGCUACCGCCGCCGCCGCUGUGACGCAUCGUGACCCCAUUCAUGGCGAUGGAGGCGGGCGUCAUUCCCAAGGAUACACCCCACCGUCGCCGCCCCAUCCCUCCCCCUCUCCCUCAGCUCGUCUGCUCCGGCCGCCUCCAUCCCGUCGCUCGAGCAUCCGGUGUCCGGCGAGAUCCGUGGGGAGUAGCCAUCGUCCGGUAAGGUCCGUGGGGAGCAACCAGCGCCCGACCAUGUUAGUAAGGAGGAUCAGGGUGGCAACGGGGUCGUCGUCGACCUUGCAGAACCGCUGCCCGCGGUCGCACCGCCCUCCGACACGGCUGUCGGCUGGUCGCAGCAACACACACCGGAAGGAUGCUGUUCAGUGUACCCUGUCGAGCUCCUCAUUGACCUCGUAGUACCAGCCUUCCGCGGUCACAAAAACUCCGCGGCACCGGUUGCAGCGCGGCCGUUCCUGGUCGCACAAUUGCGCCACCGGCUUGAAGCGACGAGGCCCAUGAUCUGGGAAGAUUCUGUGCGGAAUUCCUGGAGAAGAGAACGGGAGGAAGGGGAAAGUGGAGCGAAACGAAUGGAAGAGAAGCAUCCAGAAUAGAUAAAAUAUCGUGUUGGGCCUGUGUACCUCUUAGCUGUGUCACAGGUUGACAGAAACGUGGCGGACGUAAGUGGGCGUAGCGGCCGGUCGCUAAACCUGAUGGUAUUGUACGGGAAAAUCGUGAGUGUAUCGUAUAGCUUGAACCGCGGAAGAGAUCACUUGGUGGGCCGCCGUGGGCGUGUCCACUUACAGGUAUACCGCUUGGCUUCCUACUAGAGAUGCAAAAUUUCUUUCCUGACCAGACAGAUUGAAAAAUGUAUGUACUCGUGUAUGUUCGUGGAAUGUACAAUUCCGGCAUGAAAUGUACAUUUUUUUUGAAUAGGGAUCUGGCGUAGAACCAACUUACAUGUGAUAUUUCAAGGCUUAUCUAUCGAAAUGAAGUUCUGCAUACAUGUUUGAGCGGUAAUUCACUUACUGGAACCUUGUCACCUGAUUUGUGCUAGCUGACUUGCACGCGGUACUUGUAAGUUCUAUGCUUACUCGGAGAUGCUGCUUCAUAUCAUGCUAAUUAAUCUUCAUUUAUGAAAUACAUGGACAUUUCAUAUAACCAAAUUUUCAGAAAAAAAUACCAUACAACGACGGUUUCUUUCUAAUAGCCACAGUGUAAGCCAUCCUGAUUCCGUGCAAAUCUUAUAAACUCUACCUUUUGUACACUUGCAAUAUAUUGUUAUAUAUUCACAUUCUGACUUAAGCUUAACUUUUUCGUAGGUCCAUAAGACAAACAUAUGCUUGUUGCUUGAGAGCUAUUGAAAUGUACUUGUAUGGUCCACCAUGGUGCAUUGAUUAAUUUACUAUAUCAGUUACAUAUGCUUGGGAAGAUAUGUAUCACCUAGCAGUUUAUUGACGAUGAAAUUCUUAGCUUUGUUUACUUACAAAUGCUUUGGAAGUGAGGGAAAUGCACUUAGUUGGUUUAUGUAUGUUUUUAGUUUAUUUCUUGGUUAGCGUCAAGUUGAAUUUAUUGGUGCAUUGAAACAAUUAAAACAUACAAAUGCUUAGGAAGGAAAUUAUAUCAUCCAACGGUUUAUUAGUGAUGACAUUUCUAGCUAUUAGUCUUUCCAACAAGUUUCAUUUUGUUUAUUUCAGUUUUGAUGCUUCACAAACCUCCUCUCUAUGAACAUUUGUGUGUAGCUACAAGCCAAUCCAACCUAUGAUUAGAAGGGCUGGUACGGGCGAGACUAUUGGAGGAUGCCCAGUUUUUUGCGCUCUUUAUCGACACAUGUGCAUACAGACCAGUCGAUCAUCAGAAUGGAAACAUAUUGUGGAUGAACGUGAUCCCAUUGAAGUUCUUUGGCAGAAGGAAUGUGUGUUCUACAAGAUAGUAUGAGCCCCUUAUUGAUAGUAUGUCAUGAGGAUUAAAUGUGAAGCCGACACAUGUUCCCUUAUCUGCAUAUUGCUCUAUUGUCAAGGAAGAUUGGUGUGAAGAUACAAUAGUCUACUUUAACAAUUUACCACAAUGCAAAGUUAAUGGUUA